UAGGGAAUCUUCCGCAAUGGACGAAAGUCUGACGGAGCAACGCCGCGUGAGUGAAGAGGGUUUUCGGAUCGUAAAACUCUGUUGUUAAAGGAGAACAAGGAUGAGAGUAACUGCUCAUCCCCUGACGGUAUUUAACCAGAAAGCUACGGCUAACUACGUGCCAGCAGCCGCGGUAAUACGUAGGUGGCAAGCGUUGUCCGGAUUUAUUGGGCGUAAAGCGAGCGCAGGCGGUUCUUUAAGUCUGAUGUGAAAGCCCCCGGCUCAACCGGGGAGGGUCAUUGGAAACUGGAGAACUUGAGUGCAGAAGAGGAGAGUGGAACUCCACGUGUAGCGGUGAAAUGCGUAGAUAUGUGGAGGAACACCAGUGGCGAAGGCGACUCUCUGGUCUGUAACUGACGCUGAGGCUCGAAAAGCGUGGGGAGCAAAACAGGAUUAGAUACCCUGGUAGUCCACGCCGUAAACGAUGGUGCUAAGUGUUGGAGGGUUUCCCGCCCUCAUGUGCAGCUAACGCAUUAAGCACUCCGCCUGGGGAGUACGGCCGCAAGGCUGAAACUCAAAGGAUUGAC
rnacentral:rRNA from 1 species